AAUAUACUCCUUCCGUCCGGAAAUUCUUGUCUGAACAAUGGAUGUAUCUAGAUAUAUUUUAGUUCUAGAUAUAUACAUCCAUUUCUAUCAAUUUUUGCGACAAAUAAUUCCGGACGGAGGGAGUAUUUC
rfam:Hordeum vulgare subsp. vulgare, WGS project CAJW01000000 data, contig: morex_contig_135160